UUGUUGUAGUUUGAUCAAUGGCAGAAGCAACUGGGCCUGCCAACAAGCCAAGAAAUGAAGAGAUUCGUAGCUGAGGUGUGAUUGAAAAAAUAAAUUUGUUGAGGAAAGUCAUGUGGUCUUGAACAUGCUUUGUAGGCAUAUCUCAGUUUCUUGUGAUGGCAUUAAAGAGGAUUCAGAAGGAGCUAAAGGACUUGCAAAAGAACCCUCCUGCAUCUUGCAGUGGUGGUUAGUUUUUUCCCUCCCUUUUCUGCUUUCUACAUUGUUUUUGGCAUAUGAUUUUCUCUGUCUCUUUCUGUUUGUGUAUGUGUGCUGCAUCAAAUGCAUAUUCUGUAUGUUCAG